UCUGAAAGGCAGGUUCCAGUCACACC
rnacentral:piRNA from 1 species